rnacentral:rRNA from 1 species
GACGAACGCUGGCGGCGUGCUUAACACAUGCAAGUCGAACGGAAAGGCCCUGCUUUUGUGGGGUGCUCGAGUGGCGAACGGGUGAGUAACACGUGAGUAACCUGCCCUUGACUUUGGGAUAACUUCAGGAAACUGGGGCUAAUACCGGAUAGGAGCUCCUGCUGCAUGGUGGGGGUUGGAAAGUUUCGGCGGUUGGGGAUGGACUCGCGGCUUAUCAGCUUGUUGGUGGGGUAGUGGCUUACCAAGGCUUUGACGGGUAGCCGGCCUGAGAGGGUGACCGGCCACAUUGGGACUGAGAUACGACCCAGACUCCUACAGGAGGCAGCAGUGAAGAAUAUUUCACAAUGGGCGGAAGCCUGAUGCAGCAACGCCGCGUGCGGGAUGACGGCCUUCGGGUUGUAAACCGCUUUCGCCUGUGACGAAGCGUGAGUGACGGUAAUGGGUAAAGAAGCACCGGCUAACUACGUG